UUAAAUGCCGAUGUUACCAGUUAUCAAAUAUAUAGUGUACUGGGAAAUAUUUAUAUUAUUUGAUAGGCCAUUUGUAAAACUGCAUACUCAUUCAGAAAGUAUACUUAAAACACGAAAAUAUUUAAUGAUGUUGUAAAUGUUAAAUUACCUUUGCAUAUGUUAAACUGAAAUAUUUUUAUGUAAAUAUUUUUAAUUAUUAAAUGUACUAAAUUGUUUUUGAGCUUUUUGAGAUACAUAAAUGAAUAACACGUAAACACUGAGUAGUUAUUAAAUGAGUCCAUGUUGAAUUUGAUUAAACUGAAUUUUAAAACCCGCAAAAUUAAAACUAUAUAUAAUGUACCAUCUGGUUGUUGUAAAUUCAGGGUAUGUUGUAAACAGUAUAACCAGAAUUUAGAUAAUAUAUAUGAAAAAUUAUUCAUUAACAAAAGGGUUUUUGUUGGCUGUUCUCAUCCAUUUUUGGUUCUUAACAGGGAAAUUAUGAUAAGGUUAGGUUUAAAGGCUUUUCUAAAUAAGCCAUAUACUUGAUCAAAGUUAGAAAUUGGUGGCAGAGCUCCAUUGUGGCAAAUUAUAUACUCCAGAUUUUUACCACUUCACUAUGAAGAUCAAGUUUUGUCCACUUGGCCAUGUAAAGGCUUCCUUGUCCCCUUCAUGAGGUCUCCUAUCCAGUCUAUAUUCAUUUCUCUCCACAUACCCCAUGAACUUCAACAACUCUCACAUACUUGCUCACACCAAAUAGGAAUCUCUUAGCCUGAGAAUCUCCUCUCAGCUCCUUCCAUGCCUCUUUAGGAACUGUAACCUUUGCAGUUUCUAGAUUUUCCGUCUGUAUAUGUGAAUGCUCAUAAGCAGAAACUUAUUUGUUUCUCCAGAUCUGAAUGGCAUAGAUUUAACUCCUGUGCAAGAUACUCCUGUGGCUUCAAGAAAAGAAGAUACAUAUGUUCAUUUUAAUGUGGACAUUGAGCUCCAGAAGCAUAUUGAAAAAUUAACCAAAGGUUUGUAAUUAUCAGUUACUGACUUCUUAAGGACACAGUACUUAUCUGGGUUUGUGUUCAUAGUAUACUUAACACAAGAUCUUACGUCACAUAGUUAUGAAUAUUGACUUAAAGAAAGUCAAAUCAAUUUUUUUUUAAAUAUGAGAAUUAGCAGUUGCAUUAUCUAGUUGUGUAAUAAUGUGGUUAAAUAUUAUUUGAUAGGGAAGUUUUUCUCAUAAUACAGAGUUAAGGAAGCAGGGUCCCUAAUAAUUACCUUAAGUCCUUUUAGGAACCUAAUGAUUACUUUCUAACAGUUAAAGAAUUAGUUUUUUUUCUUUCAAUAAGAUGCAUUGGGUAAAAAGAUACUAUAACUGGCAGUUAGUUUGUAAGAAUAUGGAAAGGACAAUCUGGGCUUGGUGGUUUCAGGAGGGAGAGAAAUGAUGUAAGCUAGAAUUUUAAAAUUUCUAUUCUAUCUAAUAUAGGUGCUUAUUGAAACCAUUUCUAUAGGUACUGCUGAUACUUAAGUAACUUCUGUUUUUCUUGUGGUAUUUAAUAUUUUAUAUUCUUUGGUAGUUUAUGAUUCUACCUGUGUACAUAACUUACAUUCUUGCUAUAAAAUUUUGUUGUACUUUGUAGAAUUAAAUGAUAUGGAGAAAUGUCACUCAGACAUGGUAGAAGAGCUUGGAGUGACAGCCACAGUGAGUUAUCAACAGUGUGUGUCAUCAGACUGUUUGACACAUGUUACUUUGUAAAAUCAUAGGCUUCUGGUGACACGUAAGAAAUGUGUGGUCUCUGGCUUAUGUGGUUUGUUUUAAUUCCUUAGGUGCAGCUAUCUUCUUUGAAUUCAAACACUACAAGCCUAAAAAAAGGUUUACCAGCACCAAGUGUUUUGCUUUCAUGGAGAUGGAUGAGAUUAAACCUGGGCCAAUUGUAAUAGAACUGUAAGUGAUAUACAUAUAGGAUUCUUACUGUUUUAAUGGUUACUAGUUCAUGUUUCUUCUUAGUCCCUCUUAUCUACAAUGUAACAUUGGAGUAGAUCAAUCAUCAAAGUAUUUUAAACAAUGAUCUUUCUAUUGUGGUUACAGAUACAAGAAACCCACUGACUUUAAAAGAAAGAAAUUGCAGUUAUUGACCAAGAAACCACUUUAUCUUCAUCUACAUCAAACUUUGCACAAGGAAUGAUUCUGACAUGAGUAAUGUGGAAUUUCUGUGAAUUUUACCACUCAGUAGAAACCAUCAGAGCUCUGUGUAGCAUAUUCAUCCUUCAGGAGGCAGGAAGUGAGCCGUACCUAUAGGCCAGUGAGUCCAUUGCAAAGCUGUACCACAGAACUAAAGUCCAGUACCUCAUUGUUAUGACUCCUUUGGAUACAGGUUUAUUGUAGAUUUUGAAACAUGUUUUUACUUUUCUAUUAAUUGUGCAAUUAAUAGUCUGUUUCCUAAUUUACCACUGUUCCUACCCUGCUUCCUGGAACAAUACUGCUGUGGUAGGUAUGCUCAUCUUCAAACUUAAUACAGCAAUAAGAAUGUGCUAGAGUUUACACAUUUGCUCACUUUUGCUCCAAUAUGGUCUUUUGAUUUGAAUUAACUUCAAACUUUUGAAUUGAAGUGGGUAGGAUAGUACCAGAUUGCUUUGAAAGGAAAUUGGAUCAGUUAUGGUCUGUCUUAUAAGCUGUUCCUUAGAGCUGGCCUAAAUUCACCCUCAUCUGAUAGUUCUACUUAGAAAUAGUGUGCCUUGACCAGAUCAAUAUCUUAUAUGGGAGUGUUCUCCAGGUUGUAGCUGUGACUUUUUUCCAGAUGACCAGAUUGUUUUUCUGAAAGUGAGCAUAUUUUUAGUCAUGUUGAUUAGUUGUUCUACAUCACAUUGCUAUUGUUUCUAGGGUUAACAUUAAAACCAUCUCUCUCAGAAUAAUUACAAAUUUUGGGGUGGGUUUACGUCUUCUAAAUCAUGUCAUCUACAAAUAAUUGAGUCAGAUGCUAAUGAGAUACUGCAGGAACAACUGCUGUUUUUCUGACAACUGAUUGUGAAACCUUAAAACCUGCAUACCUUGUCUUUAUAAAGUGAUGAGUAUGCAGAAUCUGGAAAGAUAUUCUAUUUUUUUUAAUAUAGGUAGAUACAACUGCCAUUUAUUUCCUAUUUAGAUAUAUUGACAUUCAUAUGAAAAUAUGCAGGUCAUUAGCCUAUUAUAAUUUCACUAUUUACAUUACUUUUAACUUAAUGAUGAGACAUAAAUAAAACUUUCAUAGUACACGAGGUGGAUAUUUGAUACACAGAACAUAAAGAUUUGUGAGGAGCUUUUUUUGUGGGUUACAUGUAGAACCCAUGUAUUUUAAUAUUCACUGUUUUAAAUGAACAAUGCAUGAAGGGAAUGCAGUACUUGGCCUAUUUUUAAACUAGUGUAAACCCUAAUCAUACCAUCCGUUUGCUUUUUAAAACGAAUAACAAUUGUUUUAGCCCUUGCACUUCAAGAGAUCUAGUCUUUAAUUUUUCAGUUGUCUGUUAGGUCAAUUUUGUUUACUAGAUGAAUAUUAAUAAAACUAUAUGAGCCUGAAAGAAUUCUCAACCAAAUUUAGUCUUUCAUCUGGAUUGGGUUAAUUUCACAAAUGCAAAAAUAGUUCAGUCUACAGUAGUUCUAGGAAAUGAAGAAUUUGCCUUAAUAAAAUGUUCACUUAACUGAAACUCUGAGUAGUCAAAAUUUCCAGACUGUAAACUUCUCAAGAGAAGGGCCUCAUCUUCUCCAUGUCAUGUAAACUUUCCAAGGUGCUUGGGCAGCACUCUGUACCCUGUGGAGUACUCAGUACCUUUUUGUUUGAUGUUACUGAUGUUUGAUGUUGCUCCCUUAAAAUCUACUAUUAAAAUGUAGCAAAACUGAUACAUUGUUCUUUCUGUUUCUCAUAGACUAUAAAACAUGUAUAUCCAAGUGAUAAUUUUAAAAAAAACAAAAACCUUUUUUUUGGUUGUAGAUGAACACAGUACCUUUAUAUUUAUAUGUGGUGCUGAGGAUCAAACCCAGUGACUCAC
rnacentral:lncRNA from 1 species